GAUGAAGAACGUAGUGAAAUGCGAUAAGUAAUGUGAAUUGCAGAAUUCAGUGAAUCAUCGAAUCUUUGAACGCACCUUGCGCUCUUUGGUAUUCCGAAGAGCAUGCCUGUUUGAGCGUCAUGAAAAUAUCAACCUUGACUUGGGUUUUGUGCUCUAGUCUCGGCUUGGAAUUGGGUGCUUGCCGCUUUUACGAGCGGCUCACCUUAAAUGUAUUAGCUGGAUCUGUCUUUGAGACUUGGUUUGACUUGGCGUAAUAAGUAUUUCGCUAAGGACAUUCUUCGGAGUGGCCUCGUUUCUAGGACGCUUGUCCGCUUUCCAAUACAAGUUCCACCUCGUGGACAUGACUUUUUAUUAUCUGGCCUCAAAUCAGGUAGGACUACCCGCUGAACUUAAGCAUAUCAAUAAGCGGAGGA
rnacentral:misc_RNA from 1 species